ensembl:lncRNA
AAAAGUUAAAGAUUUCCACGCUAGAACACACAUUUCGCUUUGUACUUGAAUAUUUAUGUAUAAAGUGAAAUAAAACUAGUCUCGAGGAGUGAGUUACAGAGAUUUUGGCUCACAUGAAUAACGUUAACGUUACCAUAACGCGCGAGACCCGCUCAAGCUGUAGCAUGAAACUACAAAGUAAAAGUAAAAGCAACCUGGACCCUUGAGAUACACGCAUGUUUGGUGAUGGAAGGAUGGCUGGUGGUGUUAGUUUGUGUGCUGUUUUCAAGGCAACCGUCUGAAGUUCAUGCAUUCACACGAAAGGCGCUGUUUUUGCACUGGAAGACAGUUUUUAAAUUUUCAAGGUCAUGUUAAAUCCCCUCGAUGACACUUGUGUGGACAUUACGCAGGCUGUCCAUAAAAACAUUUAUAAAUGGUCAGCCAUGAGAGAUGACAUCAAUAUCAGUGUGGAGGUGCGGGUGGUAUAGAAGCUCAAGGUGGAAUAAAAGAGAGUGAUAAAGAGCCAGGUAAUGGAGCGGAACAGAGGUGGUACCACUGCAGGGUAAAAGGUGUGGACACCAGCCCCAGCGUACUCCUCUCCCUCAAGCCCAGACGGGUUGGACUUGAGCUGGGAUGAAGAACCGGAUGAGGACUUUCAAAGCCAGAUGAAUGAGAAUGCCAUCAUUGGUCUGGCAGAGAGUCAAGGGCAGCAGGAGGGAGAAGAGGAGGAGAUUUGCAGAAGGCCUGUUGUGGGAUGUGAAGACCCCUGAGCCUGAGCAUGGGCCACCGCCUGCACUAGAGGAGAUAAGCUGUCACCUGAGUGAGCUGCUGGACUCUGAGCCGCUCUCUCAGGCCACUGGAGAUGACUGCUGCUCUCCAUCUCUGCAGGAAGAACACAAAACAGAUGAUGACCGAAGUGUUUUGUUGGAGGAUUGGACUGAUGAUGAGGACGGUACAAGGAGCCCAACAAUUCACAGACACAUAUUAAACCCUUUGCCACAGAGAGACACAGUGCUAGACAUGAUCGAUGAGGAAACAAAAGAGAAGGACACAUGUGAAGAUGCUCAGAGAUUCAUGGAUCAAACAUUACCUGUCACAAAAGAGAUGGCAUCUAUGUUUGAAAGGAUGAAGAGCUGUGAUUACAGUGAGAUCCCACAGCAUUUUGAGCAAAGUGAUUGUGAGGAAACUGAGGAAACCAAUGGACAGUUUCUUCCAGUCUCACAUCGCAUCUCUAGAAACACUUGUAAUCCCAUCAGGUUUCCCUAUUUGUCCUACGGGGAACUUAUGAAUAACUGUGGGAUUGAAGCUGAAACAUUUCCAGCACAGUACCAGAGGAGUUACACUGCCCCCAGCAGGCCAGCACACUGAUGCAGCUGCUACAGGUG